CUGAUAUCCACCGGAGUCCACACGCUGAGUGCUCGUCUAAGCAGAGAACCUGACUGGUCAUCUAGCGAGACAACUAACUAAUACAAGAUCAAUGGACAGCUUUGUCAUAAACAAGUUGACAGAGUGGCAGAUGACAGACCUUGCCGAAAGAUUUAAAGAGGAGGGGAUUGAUGAGGAGAGUUUUCUUCUUUUAGAUGAGGCUACCAUCAACCAGUUGAUCCCAAGAGCUGGCCCUAGGCUGAAGUUCCUCAAAAAAUUUAGAGGACUUGUAAGAUCAAUGUAGACUUAGAGGCUCAAUUCUUCAGUUUUCCACACACUGUUAUUAUUUCUGAGUAUUUAAUAGUUGCUUUGGGAAGAUGGCUUAUACUUGCUUUAAGUGCAAAAGGCAAAUUUCAGGGGGUAUCAAGAGUCUUUUUAUGCAUUUACGUGCAGUACACCAUGUAAACUCAGCAUCAACACAUUUCCAGUGUAGUGAAAGUGGUUGUGGUAGGACAUUUUCUUACAUGUGGUCUUUUAAAAGACACUUGGAAAAUGAGCAUAACGUUGGAAAUACUCUUGAUGACCCCUUUGAAGGUCCAGCCCCACCUGUUGAUGUACAGAAUGUUGAAAUGCUGAUUGCGGAAAUGGAGCCAGCACAGGGAGAUGAGGAAGUUGAGGAAUGGGAUGAA